CGCGCACAGGUUUGAGAUUUCCUUUGGUCCUUACCUCUUAUCAAGGACAUGAAAUGAUGGCCAAUAAAGUUCUGUGUGGGUAAGUACUACUCUCUCGUGUCGAAUGAUUGAGCUCAUCUUCUCAGACUCUAAGUUCCACCACCAGAGAAAAAUUGGGAUUUAGUAACUGGUCGUUUGAGAUUGUUCAAGGAAAUUGCUCAGCUCUAAGAGCCAAACGCAGUCUUACACAUUACUACAAAAAGGGUCUCUGGAACAGACGUGUCUGUGAAGCACUUGCAAAAUGCUUCCACUCAACUUUGAAAACUUCAAAUUAAGUGCUUUAAUUCAAUGGCCAUUGGGGACAACUUGUACCUGUGUGUGCUUUGCCUUGAGUGAACCGUGCUCUGUUUGGCUUCGGAACUGUACAGACGGUCAUCAUUGAGGAAGACAUAUGUAUCAGCAUCUGGGCCUAGACCAUCGGCCAUAUCUUGCCAGAAAUCUCCCCUCAAGACAUAAGAAUGGGGAAGCUUGUGCUUUCCCUGUCACUCCUCCUGGUUCAAAGCCCGGAUUCCAAGUUGAGGAUUCUUUGUGGUAUUUAAUUGAAACGUGCUUGUUCAAUGUGGCAAUUUAGAUGAGCCACCCUGCCUGUGAUCGCGCACAGGUUUGAGAUUUCCCUUUGGUCCUUACCUCUUAUCAAGGACAUGAAAUGAUGGCCAAAUAAGUUCUGUGUGGGUAAGUACUACUCUCUCGUGUCGAAUGAUUGAGCUCAUCUUCUCAGACUCUAAGUUCCACCACCAGAGAAAAAUUGGGAUUUAGUAACUGGUCGUUUGAGAUUGUUCAAGGAAAUUGCUCAGCUCUAAGAGCCAAACGCAGUCUUACACAUUACUACAAAAAGGUAUGUGUAUCAAAAGACAAAAUGCAUCUUUGAAGGCCGUCGAGGCCCUUUCACUUCAUAAGCCACUACUCAUUGAACAUUUAAGGGUCUCUGGAACAGACGUGUCUGUGAAGCACUUGCAAAAUGCUUCCACUCAACUUUGAAAACUUCAAAUUAAGUGCUUUAAUUCAAUGGCCAUUGGGGACAACUUGGACCUGUAUGGGCUUUGCCUUGAGUGAACCGUGCUCUGUUUGGCUUCGGAACUGUACAGACGGUCAUCAUUGAGGAAGACAUAUGUAUCAGCAUCUGGGCCUAGACCAUCGGCCAUAUCUUGCCAGAAAUCUCCCCUCAAGGUAAUAAGACAUGCAGAUUCGUAAUAAACUACUUAUUUGCUCACGCUUCAUGAGGACAGAUAUAAAUACAUGAAGGCAUCUUUGGAAUAAAAGGAAGGAUCAUUAUCCACAAAUGGACCAAAGACAAGUAAUGCCAACUUUGUGUCCCAUACAAUCAAAUCAAACCAGUCAAUUUGGUAUCUGAAUUCUAUACAAUGACUUGAUUUUGCAAAACUCAACCUAACAUUAUACUUCAUGCACUUGAUAAACUACACACUGGCCUGGAUUGAAAUAGGAGAAUAUCAUUAUCUACGCACAAUAAGCAAGCAUUUGGAACAAAUGAAUCAUGUCUAUUCUCUGUGUAGCCUAGGGAUCUUUUCAAAUUUGAUUAAAGUGGUCAGGUCAGCUGGUUCCUUUCACACUCAUGUUUAUGGUCAGCAGACAUAAGAAUGGGGAAGCUUGUGCUUUCCCUGUCACUCCUCCUGGUUCAAAGCCCGGAUUCCAAGUUGAGGAUUCUUUGUGGUAUUUAAUUGAAACGUGCUUGUUCAAUGUGGCAAUUUAGAUGAGCCACCCUGCCUGUGAUCGCGCACAGGUUUGAGAUUUCCCUUUGGUCCUUACCUCUUAUCAAGGACAUGAAAUGAUGGCCAAUAAAGUUCUGUGUGG